AUUGAACGCUGGCGGCAGGCCUAACACAUGCAAGUCGAGCGAGCGGCGGACGGGUGAGUAAUGUCUGGGAAACUGCCCGAUGGAGGGGGAUAACUACUGGAAACGGUAGCUAAUACCGCAUACUAUCGGAUGAUCCCAUAUGGGAUUAGCUAGUAGGUGGGGUAACGGCUCACCUAGGCAACGAUCCCUAGCUGGUCUGAGAGGAUGACCAGCCACACUGUAACUGAGACCCGGUCCAGACUCCUACGGGAGGCAGCAGUGGUGAUGAGUGCACUAUGGGCGCAGGCCGGAUGCAGCCAUGCCGCGUGUAUGAAGAAGGCCUUCGGGUUGUAAGGUACUUUCAGCGGGGAGGCGUUACUCACAGAAGAAGCACCGGCUAACUCCGUGCCAGCAGCCGCGGUAAUAC
rnacentral:rRNA from 1 species